UAAUACAGAGGAGCCAAGCGUUGUCCGGAUUGACUGGGCGUAAAGCGCACGCAGGCGGUCGCGCGCGUGGGGUGUGAAAUCUGGCCGCUUAACGGCCAGGCGCCAUCCCAUACGGCGCGACUGGAGGGCUGCAGAGGUCGAUGGAAUUGCCGGUGUAGUGGUGAAAUGCGUAGAGAUCGGCAGGAACACCCAGGGGGAAACCAGUCGACUGGGCAGCACCUGACGCUGAGGUGCGAGAGCGUGGGGAGCGAACCGGAUUAGAUACCCGGGUAGUCCACGCCGUAAACGAUGGCCACUCGGCCUUUGGGGGCGGAAUCUCCGUCCGUGGGGGCCUUAGCUAACGCGGGAAGUGGCCCGCCUGGGAACUACGAGCGCAAGCUUA
rnacentral:rRNA from 1 species